CGGGGCGUAGCGCAGCCUGGUAGCGCACCUGCCUUGGGCGCAGGGGGUCACAGGUUCGAAUCCUGUCGCCCCGACCA
rnacentral:tRNA from 1 species